rnacentral:rRNA from 1 species
AUGAACGCUGGCGGCGUGCCUAAUACAUGCAAGUCGAGCGAACGGACGAGAAGCUUGCUUCUCUGAUGUUAGCGGCGGACGGGUGAGUAACACGUGGAUAACCUACCUAUAAGACUGGGAUAACUUCGGGAAACCGGAGCUAAUACCGGAUAAUAUUUUGAACCGCAUGGUUCAAAAGUGAAAGACGGUCUUGCUGUCACUUAUAGAUGGAUCCGCGCUGCAUUAGCUAGUUGGUAAGGAAACGGCUUACCAAGGCAACGAUGCAUAGCCGACCUGAGAGGGUGAUCGGCCACACUGGAACUGAGACACGGUCCAGACUCCUACGGGAGGCAGCAGUAGGGAAUCUUCCGCAAUGGGCGAAAGCCUGACGGAGCAACGCCGCGUGAGUGAUGAAGGUCUUCGGAUCGUAAAACUCUGUUAUUAGGGAAGAACAUAUGUGUAAGUAACUGUGCACAUCUUGACGGUACCUAAUCAGAAAGCCACGGCUAACUACGUG